UACGUAGGUGGCGAGCGUUGUCCGGAUUUAUUGGGCGUAAAGCGCGCGCAGGUGGUGCGGUAAGUCUGUCGUGAAAUCUCCUGGCUCAACUGGGAGGGUGCGGUGGAGACUGCCGGACUGGAGGCACUCAGAGGCCGGUGGAAUUCCCGGUGUAGUGGUGAAAUGCGUAGAGAUCGGGAGGAACACCAGUGGCGAAGGCGGCCGGCUGGGGGUGACCUGACGCUGAGGCGCGAAAGCCAGGGGAGCAAACGGG
rnacentral:rRNA from 1 species